CUGUAAGUACUGUCAGAAACGGAGCUUGGUGUAGAUAUUCAGAACAUGUUGAACUGCGUUUUCUCUACAGGUGCUUUUAUCGGUUUGCAUGCUGCAUGUUUGAUGUUUUGCCAGAGCUGGGGAUGAAAUGGUACUGAAUGCCGGAAAGUAAAGUUAACAGUGUUCAGUUUAAGUGUACAUUUCGAGAUCAGUGCCAGUGUUUAUAAACGCUCAAAAUCUAUAUAGUAUUUCUUAGAUUAACGAGUGCUUACUGUAUAAUUUAGGAAAGUUUUAAUAAUACUACAGCAGAUGCUAAUUAAAUCAGGAAGUGAAGCACUACCAAACGUACCGUAUACAAUGUUCAGUUCAAGUUUAAUUUUCAGUUUAGUGCCAGAGUUUAUCAUCAACCCAAAAAAAUAUCUGAUUUUCACAUUGACGAGUACUACAGCUUACUUCUCCCAUUCCUUGGUUGAAGACUCUGUUUUGAACCGAGCCUUGCAGCAAGGAGGGAAUGGCUGCGUUUGUUUUGUGCUUGGACGCCUUCUCCUAGUUGUGCUAAAAUUGAGGUGCUUGUUUAAUUAACAAGAACCUUUCAUCCCCACUGUGACAGUAAUGCAUUGAGGUGCCUAUGGACUGUAGUGUAUUAGGUUGCCAUGAGUAGUAAAACUUAGUGUUGUAUUGAGGAUUGAGGGUGGCUGGGCUUAUAAGUUAAUCAUCAGCAUGAAUGCUUUAUUUGUCUGAUCCUCACAAGUUAAUCCUUCGCUCGUCUGGGUGUGUGAUAAUGCCAUGUGUCUUGUGCAAUCAGAUUACAUUUCUGUUUGUUAUGGUAAUAUAAAAAAUAUUCGUGCUGUCAAAAUUUUCACAGUGCGUGCCUUUAAUUUCUUUAGUUUGAUUGUUUCCCUUGUAUUCAAUAUGCUUCUAGUGGCUGAUCCUUCCAUUUUUGUUAUGGCAUCUUUAUUUUCACAGUGCGUGCCUUUAAUUUCUUUAGUUUGAUUGUUUCCCUUGUAUUCAAUAUGCUUCUAGUGGCUGAUCCUUCCAUUUUUGUUAUGGCAUCUUUAUUUUCACAGGUGUUGUUUGUUCUGGAAGAUGGAAGAGAAACAAAACCUAUUUUUGUUGAACUAAAUUUUCUGUAUUCCGUUUUGUUGUACGUAUCAUUUGAUAGUUUUGUAUAGGAACAAGUGAUACUAUUUUGUAGGGCUUUAUGGCCUGUGAUGUAAACAUAUUUAGUGCUGAAAUAUGAAAUUAUUUGCAAAAUUUGUCGAAAA